UUGGCGGGGAGCUGUAGGGUCUGCUGUUUGCCUGAGAGGGAGGAGAGACGAGCUACUGCUGUCGUGAAAGUUUGAGUCCGUAGGUGGAGGUAACUGACAUUUUACCGGCGUGAUAGUGGAUUUUCUGUGAGCCGGUGGACAGUGUGUGCUGCGCCCUGCUGGCGGCCUUGACCCCUUUCCUCCCACCUGUCCUUUGAACUAUCAGGAGCCGAUUGGAGACUAGAAACACUGUGAGUCAGUCAGCAGACAGAUGAGGACAGCACCGUCCUGACUGCCCACCUCCUUUAAACAAGUGCCUGUUUCA